UACAGAGGUCUCAAGCGUUGUUCGGAUUCAUUGGGCGUAAAGGGUGUGUAGGUGGCGCGCUAAGUCGGGUGUGAAAUUUCGGAGCUUAACUCCGAAACUGCAUUCGAUACUGGCCGUGCUUGAGGACUGGAGAGGAGACUGGAAUUUAUGGUGUAGCGGUGAAAUGCGUAGAUAUCAUGAAGGAAGACCAGUGGCGAAGGCGGGUCUCUGGACAGUUCCUGACGCUGAGGCACGAAGGCCAGGGGAGCAAACGGG
rnacentral:rRNA from 1 species